GCGCCUGUAGCUUAACUGGAUAGAGCACCGGAUUUCGAAUCCGUAGGUUGAAGGUUCGAAUCCUUCCAGGCGCA
rnacentral:tRNA from 1 species